CUCUGCUGUGACACUGAGUGCCGGCUGCGCCCCACGUGCUGCAGCUCGGGGGGGUUUGUCUAACAAAGCUGUUUAUUUCUGAGACAUUUCGAUGAGGACAUCUGUUUAUACAGAUAUACACACUCCGAUGGUUAAUUACAGCCGGGUUUGCACAGCAAUGGGUAGGACAUUCCUUCUCUAAUGAAUAAUUCCGUAUCUUAACAUAAUCUGUUAUCUAAAAGGACCUGAUCUGAGGUCGCUGGACUGAGUUUGUUCGGUAGCGCCAGCCAGGGACAGCGUGCCGGGUACAAGCAGCGAGCAGGGCCGUGGCACAGGCGGUUCCCUCGCUUGGGCUGGACCCAGGUCACCCUCUGCCUCUCCCCAAGGAUGUUUGUCACUUGUUGCUAAGCGCGGCAGCAGCCACAGCAAGGCCGUUGCCGGUACAACUCACCAUUUGCCGGUGAACCGCAAAGCACUGGUCGUGUUCGAAUACAAGGUUAGAUCUGCUCUUUGUCUUCAAGUGGCUACAAUACACAUGAAGUCAUUCUCUUAGCUACAGGUGCUGCAGAAACAGAGCGGGCACAAAGGUCAGAGUCCUGCAUUGAUAGAGGAAUAUCGGGAAUAACGGGAAUAACGGGAUAAUGCUGCGCGUGCUGCUCGCCUCCCAAACCAUCCUGCCCUGUGUGAGUCACCCGAGCGACAGGACCACCCAGACACACCGUUCCCCCCGUUCUCCUUCGGACAGAAACGUUCCCGGGGGCACUCCCACAGGUUUUGCAGAAACAUCUGGCAACAACAUGCAAGGAAGAGGAAACUUUUGUUUUAUGCAUCAAGAGCUCUCUAUGAAGAAAAUCAGCUAAUUACAGGAUGCCUGCAAGAAAAGAACCACCUUUGAUUUCACCAGUAGUUUUUCCUGCAGCACAAAGUGCAACACAAGUCGGCGGCAGCGGCGGGCGGGCCGGGGGCAGGGCAGGGGAGGGCGUCCCGGCCCCGGGGCCGCGGUGGCGGGAGCUGGGUCUGCGCACCCGGUUUGCACCCCCGCGUGCCCCUGGCCCCGCACAGCGCGCGAGGCUUGUCCUCACGGCGUCCUGUACCUUCCCAUGCGGGUGACUUCAAAUCACGGUCUGUAAAUGUAGUGCUUGUCAGCAAUAAAGCAGAAUUAUGUGCAGCUGGUUCACUAAUGAAAAAGAAUUUGGGAUGUGACACGGUGCAAGGUUUGAGCUCAGACUCCUAAGUACGAUAUAUCAGUAAAGUUAUAAGCAAAAGGAAACGUUACCGCUAAAAACGUGUUUUGUGAAAUGUCAUAAAGCUUUUGAAACAUCUGUCUUUACUGCAAGAUAAAUGACUCCUCUUUAAAUUGAAAACGUAAUUCCAAACAAUGCCGCUCUCAGUACUGCAGAUGGGUCCGGAUUCGGAGUCUGAGCCAGCGCCAGGAGCCGCAGGAAAGGAUCCUUCGAACUGCAGUGGGUGCUACAUGUCGAAAAAGGAUUUUAAAAUCUUUUCUGAAAUAUCACGCAGCUGAAAUGGAAGAAUUCACAGGGAGUUAAGGAAGGAGAUAGGACAUGAAAACUAAAAUACUUUUCUUGAAACAAGAAAAGAACACUGUGUAAAUUAAUUAGAUGCAAGUUCUCAAUCUCUUAAGUUCUUAUGGAAGAAGUGCUUGUAGACAAUUGUCCUUAUGCUUUGUGUUCCACCUUACUCCCUGUGUUUUAUUGUAACUGUAUUUACACGAAUAUAACUUUUAAAGGACUUCAGUUUUAAACAGGCUUCUUCUAUGC